UAGGGAAUCUUCCGCAAUGGACGCAAGUCUGACGGAGCAACGCCGCGUGAGUGAAGAAGGAUUUCGGUUCGUAAAACUCUGUUGUUAGAGAAGAACAGCGCAUAGAGUAACUGUUAUGCGUGUGACGGUAUCUAACCAGAAAGCCACGGCUAACUACGUGCCAGCAGCCGCGGUAAUACGUAGGUGGCAAGCGUUGUCCGGAUUUAUUGGGCGUAAAGCGAGCGCAGGCGGUCAAUUAAGUCUGAUGUGAAAGCCCCCGGCUCAACCGGGGAGGGUCAUUGGAAACUGGUUGACUUGAGUGCAGAAGAGGAGAGUGGAAUUCCAUGUGUAGCGGUGAAGUGCGUAGAUAUAUGGAGGAACACCAGUGGCGAAGGCGACUCUCUGGUCUGUAACUGACGCUGAGGUUCGAAAGCGUGGGUAGCAAACAGG
rnacentral:rRNA from 1 species